CGGGCGGCGCGCAGGCGCAGCGCGGCUGUGGCGGCGCUGAGGGGAGCGGAGCGGGGCUGGGCGCGUCACCCCCUGAGUGAGCUCCCCGCAGGCGGUGGGCAGCGGCUUUGCGGCCGGUCUGGGUGGCCGGAGGCGGCCGCUCGGGUGCGGGUGCGCCCGCCAGCCCGCCCGGUAACGAGCCGGCACGAGGAGCCGCUGAGAGAGCAGUUAGUGUUGGUGGUCAUAGCGGAGCCGGAAUAACCUUAUGGAACUCUUAACUUGUUUUCAGAGACUCCCUCUAAGCCCUCCGUGUACAAGAAGCGGAAUAUCUCCGCUACCGUUAGCGUUUAUGACUCCCCCGGCCUCCCUUCCCUCCCCUCAGGUGCGCGAGCGGCUCCCGAGGGGAGUUUUAAUUUGCUGCUUACAGGGGAGCCGGAUUAAAAUCCUCACUGGAUUUUAAUUUGCUUAAAAAAAAAAAAAAUCACCCCGAACCUUCGGCGUACAAGGGACCUGAAUACCUGAAUAUCUGUGCUGCAUAUACCGCAUUUAUAACUCCUCCGCGUGCCCCUUCCCGCCCCUCAGGUGCGCGAGCGGCUCCUGAGGGAAGGUGGGGACAGGGGCUGAUCCUCCUUUAUUUUAACAUCUUUUCCAGGUGUGUUUCUGCCAUGGUUUUAAUAAAAAACAGCCAGGUAGCGCUUUUUCAUCUUCCCCUCCUGUUUCUGCCGGCUGUGUCGCUCCCCGCGGUACCUGAAGUGAAGGAAAAGCGGUGGUUGUGGAGUUUUCUCAGAGUUUUGGGGUUUGUUGGUGGGUCUGGGAAGUGAGUUAUGUACAGCGUAAUAGGGUGUUGAGAGGGAAGAAAAUUCACAUAGAAACAGCAGAACUUGGGAAAAAAUAUUCUCUUAGAGUACUUCAGGGAAAUGCCCCCAUCAGCACACAGGUGUAAGCUAUUAUUUGGGUAAUAAGCACUUAAUUAUUCACCUACUGCAAAUGGAAAAUAAUAAAAAAACUAUUGGUGUUUGUAAUUGCAAUAGAAGGAUGAAAAACUAAAUUAUGAGCGGGUUGUUGUUCUUUGUGUUCUUUGUGCUAGCGUAGCUCCUAUAAAGUGUUGGCUCUGGUUUGUGUAGAAAUCAGAAUUCCUGACCUGCAGGAACUCUAAGGAAUGAGCUCACCUUCUCCUGCAUGAGGAGUUUCUAGGCUGCAGCAAAAUGCAGAUGACUUGACAGUGGAAAUUCUUAUUGCCUCCAAAAGUAACAUUUUAUGAGCUACAGUUUUAUCAGUGCUGCGUGCUCUUACUUCAGCACAUUAUCCAUCUUAUGUGGAGCUGCAGAACUGUUCAAACCUGCUCUCAACUAAAAACCCAGAAAACCACCAAAAUCUCACACCUGUAGCCCACCAGGCAGAGAUGCUGCAUUCCAGUGCUGGAGGGACUGAUAAUUGAGUGAGCCGAGCUGCACCUCACAAAAAUGACUUUCUACCUUUGUCAUGUCUUCAAAACGAGAAGAUAGCUGUACUUGCCAUUCCUCCUUGUGGAUAUGAAAACUGAUCAGAGAAAAAAAAAAUCUGAAAACUAGAAGUUUUCCUUCUCUCCAUUGCUGUGCCACUGCUAAGCCUCACAAAAGCCCUCUCCUGGUUUCCAUAGAAAUGGCCUGUCUGCUGAUUGGAGAUGGAGCCAGAAUCUGCUGCUGCUUCCCACACAAUCCAGUGCCACCAGUGUCCUUGCCCUGUCACAGGCACACAGCCACCUUUGGGAAGGAAUGAAGGACCUGCUGAAGGAGGAUCUUGAUUGGGAUGGGACAAGUGAGGACGUGAGCUGAAGGUGAGUAAUGGUCCACUGAAAAUACUGCAGAACUUGUUGAGGUGUGAAAUGUUCUGUGGUAACUGGACUGGCUUUGGAUGUGAAUCCCCAGGGUUGGAUUGAAAGCUGUGCACACAAGCUGUUUACCCUUGGAAGUUGCUCUGAAUCAUGUCUACUCAGUGUAAUAAGUCAAGCUACCUCAUUCAGGUUUGUUGUGUUUUCUUGUGCAGACAGCAAAGGAAACAUUUCUGUCACCGUUUUCUAUA